GCUGCACGCGUGACGCUGCUCUUGUGUUCUGUUGUUUUGUUUAAACAAGUUAAAACAUGGCGCAAACGUGCCGUGUCGUUAACUGACAGAGUCGUUCACAUGAUCGCUUCGGUAAAAGCAAACGACGGGCUGAGAUUUGUCUCAUUUCCGACGUGGAAGCAAAGCCAAAGACCUCGGCUGGUCCUGGUGUCUCCAUGCAGCUGGCCGCUGUUUACAUUCAUCAAAGUUUUUCCUCUUUUUUGCUGGAAUUGUGCUACAUCACGGCCUAACAACAUGAGUUCAUUACAAUAGCUUGUCACCUCCUGUCAAUGUGACCAUCAAAGCAGUGAAAGCAAACUCUGCGGUGGUGACGUGGGACAUCCCCGAGGGAGACCCCGUCAUUGGCUUUGCCAUCACACAACAGAAAAAAGACGUGCGCAUGCUUCGAUUCAUCCAGGAAGUCAACACCACCACACGAUCCUGUGCAUUAUGGGACUUGGAGGAAGAGACAGACUACAUUGUGCAUGUCCAGUCCAUCAGCAUGUCUGGGACAAGCCCGUUGAGCGAACCCUUGCGCUUCCGAACACCGAAGGAGGCCGAGACUCAAGCCUCUAAGAGUAAAGACGAAGUAACCAUGGAAGAAGUGGGCCAGACUACCCAGCUGAGGGCAGGAGAGCUCAUCAUCAUCGUGGUGGUGCUGAUCAUGUGGGCAGGUGUGAUCGCUCUCUUCUGUCGCCAGUACGACAUCAUCAAAGACAACGAGCCCAACAACAACAAGGACAAAGCCAAAAACUCCUCAGAGUGCAGCACUCCUGAACAUCCAACAGGGGGGCUGUUGCGCAGUAAGGUAUAACCUAUCACCCCCUCCUCCCCCCAGGGCGCCUCCCCCCUCAGCGGCGCUGGGCAGUUCCCCAAGAACAACAACAACAACAAAAGGAUGCCAUCUGUCAACAUCAUCGAGGUGUGACUGCCAGGACGCCUUCUCUUUAUCCAAGACUUUGUGUUCUCACAAACAAGUGGGCCCGUUUUUAAGCCCAUCUGCUUAUCAUGAUGAGGCCAGGACUCUGGGCCCCUCGGCGGCAUCUACUCUCCUUUGGCACGGGGCCUGGCACUGAAGUGAAGCUGCGGGACUGCGGGGGCCGGGCACAGCCUGUCCUGCCGGAGAGUGGAGUCUGCAUUGGGACGACUGUGGUGAGAGUUCAGCAGCUGCACUGUGCUCAAUAACUACUGUACCAUGGGGCAGCAGAGCCAAACAGUCCCAGCUGUGGAGAGCCUGUAGAUAAACCAACCCCAGGGACCAAAGCCCGUGAGCAGAGCCAGAGACCCUUUUGUUUUCACUCUCUCACCCUUUGCCACCUCUUCUUUCAGUGCAUAGUCAACAACCACAAACCAGGACAUUUCCUGGGUCACACUGAGAUGCAUCCACUUAUAUCUUUAAUUGCAUCUUCUUCAAUUUACAUUCUUCACAUCCUUCUUUCUGCACUUUUGAAAGUUAACACUAUACAUCAUUCAAGUUAGUUCACUAUAGUUUUACUUAUCUGACUUUUAAUAAGGUGCCACCAGAAUGCUUCUGUGGUUCUGGUAUCCCCGUUUUUUCUUUUCUUUUCUUUUCUUUUUUUAGAUGCCCACCUCAGGCAAAAACUCUUUGCCGUCCUGUGGGAAAUGUUGUCAUUCUGGCGAGCUUGUUUCCCCCCCCCUCAGGGAGUCCAGACUCCACCUGGCUAAUUUAGGAGCCAUUUCUUACAUGCGCUGUGACGACGCCAGAGCAGCUUUAGCGGGAUCACUUGGCUGACCGCCUGAGCUGCAUCCCCCAGUCUUGUCAGAACAAAGGAAACUCAUUCACUCGUAUUGAAAGGCAUCUCGUUGGUCAUGUUUGCUUUUGUCCUCUAAUUUCUUUAAUGCUAUAGAUUGUUGAAAUGUUACAUUCCACAUCUAGGAUGAGCCCUUUAGUAUUUCCCCGUGUCUUUCUCUUUGAGGGUGAUGGAUGAAUUCAAAGCAUUCUGGGGAGGUGAAAAACUGCCAUUAUGAAGUGCAUUCAUCUAGUUAAUGAGCUUAAAAACUCUAUGGACCUCUAUGGGGAGGUGGACAUUCCUCUGCAGAGACACUGAAGAGAUCCCUUAUAUCAGCAAUAACAGCCUUUGGAGGAGCAUGGAAGCAAGGACUCAAACGUUUUUGUCCAAAACUUCACCUGCCAGCAUGCAAUGUUCAGAAAAAUGAACAAACUGCACAUUGAAUAUGUGGGAAUUAACCCUGAGCCUCAUUUACAGGUGAUCCCUCUCCUACACUGUCAGAGGACAGUCUUUGAGCGCUGUUGUAAAAACUUUAGAUGGUAAGCAUGAACAAAAAAAAAAACUUUUUGUGAGCGCAUUCUUCAACCCUGAAACAUCCUUAUGACAUCCUCAACAUAAGGGCUUCUAUCGAGACUUUUCUCACUUAUCAGUCAACAUCUGUGCUGAGACUCCAUGUUGAAGAGGCUAAAAACAAUGAUGUGGGGUUAACAUACGGUACUGUGCACCGUAUAGUUUAAGGGAAUAUGUUUUAAGAAAGCAAAUGGUGUAUCUGAGGGCUGAUUCCAAUUCAGUAGUGCUGCCUUAACAAUUACUGUAUCUUCUUAUUCAUCUAAUAAGACAGAAUGCCCCGUAUCUUUAUGUCACAUUCAUUAGCUUUCACAUAAUAUUUGACUGUGUGUGAGAAAAGGAAAAGGAAAAAGGAAAAAAAAGGGAAAUAUGACUGACUGGUGACAUAGACUGAGUUGAGGCAUUUAAUGUGUAAAUAUAUUUUAUAUUUCGGUGGUGUCAUUUUAGAGAGCCUUUAAAGAAAUAUGACAAGAACACCAUGGAAAAUGUAUAGACUCCUAAUGUAAAAGGUUAGCGCUAAUGGCAAAAAUACAGGUGAGACUUUAGGUUAAUGCAAUGCUUUCAUGAAUGGGCAACACUUCCCUACUAUUAUAUAUUUCUAUUACAUUAUGUCAUUGUGCUGUUCAUGUGCAAUAAGAAAAGACUCAUUUUAAGAGGAAACGAAAUGAUUUAAAAGUGCAGGAUAUUUUAAGGUUGGAAGGUUGAGAGCCAUUCAGCAACUGGAAAACUGUAGUGACAUGCAGGAUUUCAUCACAGUCUGCAGUACUAUGGCCAGUCAUUUAUUGUCAACUUACAAAUACAUGCGUGCUGGAAGAGAGAGCAGUGAAGGUUACAGUUGAGCAGAAUGGGUGGAAUGGUGACUGAUGCAAAGGCAGGCUUCUAUCACUCCCUACCUCACUCUCCCACUAUUUCCACCCUUAAUAAGAGUGGAAAGUCAGUCGCAGGGGCCCCUAUGAUUGAUUAACGCAGACAUUUAAGCUAUUGCCAGGACAAGCGUGGUGAAGCACUGAAACAGCGUUCUGCUACGUUACACAGAGCGAUCAGCAUUUCAGCGAAAACGUCAGCGACCCGAAGGAGCAAGAACACUGCACCAGUAGCUGGCUCUACAAUCAAUAGGCAUCUAUCCACACCACAAUGAAUAAUGAGGAUUGUCUCCCUUUUGCCCAGGUCUAUAUUUUCUCAACAGUAUUCCCAGUGGAAUUGUUUUUUUAAUUUACAUUCCUCCUCUUCGGUUGCUUACAUACGUAAAAGCAAGCAAAAUCAGAAGUUUACUUUUGAAGCUGUUAGAGGUUUGACUGAAUAAAGUUAAUUCAAAACUG